GGCUGUGGGAUGCAGGCCGGGAGAGGCGAAGGGAAGAGGGUGCUGGAUGCCCGUGGCCCCCGAUCUCGGUGUCCUAGUGCUCGGUUGUGCCAUCCUCUGCAACCCCAAUUGUCCCGGUCCAAGUCUGCGGAAUGAAGAGUCCAGGUUGGAAGCCGAUUCAAGCCCCGAUUCCGUCCUCUUUCCCUACCAAGGAUGGCUUCAGGCCCCCGAAGUUGGUGGGUUUGGACUUCUCUUUUUUUGCCUUGAGAACCUGUGUGUUAGUGCUCACUGGCCUGCAAAGGAAUCUGUACAGAGCGCCAUGAAUUAGAGGAUGGAGAAUGAGUGCUUGGAGAUGCCUGAGGUACGGUCCUUACCCGCGUGGCAUGUGGAGGCUGGUAACGCUCUGUCCCAGUUUCUAGGAGCCCAGUGAGGUGAGAAAACAGGGUUGAAAACUUCACGGAGGAUUCAUCAUUUCUGCCCUGAAUUGGAAUCAAUUCCUUACUGACUUAUUACUGUAUUGAAAGUGUUUUAAUUAAUCAGGGUAUUUGUUUGGGUAAGACCUUUGUUUUGGUAAGGUUUUAUAAGAGCUUCUGAAUGACCAUAUACUGCUCUUCUGGUAUAUGUGAGCUUCAAUAUUUUUAAAUUCACAGGAUGGACUAUCUAUUUUACAACUUAGUAAAGUUAUAUCAUCUUUAUGGUGCCAGAGAAUAUGCUCUCAAUUGUUAGCAUGAAUCACAGUAUUACACCAGGCACUUGCAAAUUAUUUUCAUUCGUCCUGCAUUAAUCAUUUUUCAAAAGCAGUUUCUUCACUAGCCUGUGCAUCCACUGUCAUAAAUCUUCCUAAACAAGUAAUGUUGUUUUUGGCAAAUGGAUAUUUCAUACAAGGCAGCAUCUGUGUUAGAACAGGAUUUUUGUUCUAAUUAUUGAAUUUGUCUUUUUAAAAAGCAAAACUUGAAUCAAUACGGAAAAACUUCAAGAAGUCAAAGGUGAUCUGAAUAAAAAUUUAUUUAAACUCC